UGGGGAAUAUUGCACAAUGGGCGCAAGCCUGAUGCAGCCAUGCCGCGUGUAUGAAGAAGGCCUUCGGGUUGUAAAGUACUUUCAGCGGGGAGGAAGGGAGUAAAGUUAAUACCUUUGCUCAUUGACGUUACCCGCAGAAGAAGCACCGGCUAACUCCGUGCCAGCAGCCGCGGUAAUACGGAGGGUGCAAGCGUUAAUCGGAAUUACUGGGCGUAAAGCGCACGCAGGCGGUUUGUUAAGUCAGAUGUGAAAUCCCCGGGCUCAACCUGGGAACUGCAUCUGAUACUGACAAGCUUGAGUCUCGUAGAGGGGGGUAGAAUUCCAGGUGUAGCGGUGAAAUGCGUAGAGAUCUGGAGGAAUACCGGUGGCGAAGGCGGCCCCCUGGACGAAGACUGACGCUCAGGUGCGAAAGCGUGGGGAGCAAACA
rnacentral:rRNA from 1 species